GCCCUACGGGAGGCAGCAGUGGGGAAUAUUGCACAAUGGGGGAAACCCUGAUGCAGCGACGCCGCGUGAGUGAUGAAGUAUUUCGGUAUGUAAAGCUCUAUCAGCAGGGAAGAUAAUGACGGUACCUGACUAAGAAGCUCCGGCUAAAUACGUGCCAGCAGCCGCGGUAAUACGUAGGGGGCAAGCGUUGUCCGGAAUGACUGGGCGUAAAGGGAGUGUAGGCGGCUCAUCAAGUUAGAUGUGAAAUCCCGCGGCUUAACCGCGGAACUGCAUCUAAAACUGGUAAGCUGGAGUGCAGGAGAGGG
rnacentral:rRNA from 1 species